rnacentral:tRNA from 1 species
UAGGAUGUAGCUCAGUGGUAGAGCACUUGCCUAGCAUGUGUGAGACCCUGGGUUAGAGCCCAAGCAUCCAAA